rnacentral:rRNA from 1 species
UCUGGUGCCAGCAGCCGCGGUAAUUCCAGCUCCAAUAGCGUAUAUUAAAGUUGUUGCAGUUAAAAAGCUCGUAGUUGGAUUUCUGUUAAUAAUUUAUAUAUAAUAUUUAACAUAUUUAUAUAAUAUUAACAUAAUUCAUAUUACUAUUUAUAGUAUAUGAAACUUUACUUUGAGAAAAUUAGAGUGCUUAAAGCAGGCUUUUGCCUUGAAUACUAGAGCAUGGAAUAAUAUUAAAGAUUUUUAUCUUUCUUAUUGGUUCUAAGAUAGAAAUAAUGAUUAAUAGGGACAGUUGGGGGCAUUUGUAUUUAACAGUUAGAGGUGAAAUUCUUAGAUUUGUUAAAGACAAACUAAUGCGAAAGCAUUUGCCAAGGAUGUUUUCAUUAAUCAAGAACGAAAGUUAGGGGAUCGAAGACGAUCAGAUACCGUCGUAGUCUUAACCAUAAACUAUGCCAACUAGAGAUUGGAGGUUGUUCCUUACUCCUUC